rnacentral:tRNA from 1 species
AGGGUAGUAGCUCCAAUUGGUUAGAGCGUCGCAUUCCAAAUGCGAAUGUUGAGGGUUCGAGUCCUUCCUACCCUGCCA